ACGGGAGGCAGCAGUGGGGAAUAUUGGACAAUGGGGGCAACCCUGAUCCAGCGACGCCGCGUGAGUGAAGAAGUAUUUCGGUAUGUAAAGCUCUAUCAGCAGGGACGAUAAUGACGGUACCUGACUAAGAAGCCCCGGCUAACUACGUGCCAGCAGCCGCGGUAAUACGUAGGGGGCAAGCGUUAUCCGGAUUUACUGGGUGUAAAGGGAGCGUAGGCGGCGAGCCAAGUCAGAUGUGAAAGCCCGGGGCUUAACUCCGGGACUGCAUUUGAAACUGGUUUGCUAGAGUGUCGGAGAGGUAAGCGGAAUUCCUAGUGUAGCGGUGAAAUGCAUAGAUAUUAGGAAGAACACCGGUGGCGAAGGCGGCUUACUGGACGAUUACUGACGCUGAGGCUCGAAAGCGUGGGGAGCAAACAGGAUUAGAUACCCUGGUA
rnacentral:rRNA from 1 species